UUGACCCUGUAUUUGCAGAUUCUAAGGCCAGAAGGACCGAUUGUGAUUAUGUAGUCUGACCUGCUAUAUAGCAUGGGCCACAGAACUUUGCUCAAUUAAU